GUUGAGUUGUUUGCUCUUUUUUACCUGUAGCUAUGAGAGAAACUGUAGCUAUGAGAGAAACUGAUGAACCACAUUAACGAUGUACACUCUUUUGGGAUCUAUCCUUAACUGUAAACAUAGAAGAAAUUGGUCCAACAGAUCCAACAGAUGUCAGUGCAAAAUGACGAGACUUAGAGAAUUGUUAGACCCCUUUGUUCUGUGUUGUUCACUUAUCACUUUGGAAGUUGUCUUACGGUUAGCUCCAAUGUUUAUCGUCUUUCUUGGCUCCUUUGGCCUAGUGAUUAUCAUUACAUGCUCUUUGACCUUUGUUGAUGAAAGUGAUCUUCUCUGUAAAUCAGAUUUUUGUUAAACCGGCACAAUUACAAUCAUAUGUGCAACGAUUGAUGAUGUUUGAAAAUAUAUGCCUUUCACCAAUAAAAUCUGCAGAACAUAAUUUCAUUUUCCACUAUAUUAGUGGGACAAGUUUGCAUUUAGUCUAUUCGAGAUAUGGACACUACUAUUUGAUCAGUUCAACGUAAUUCUACGGGUGUCUCUGCUCAGAAAUUGCUAGGAAUGUAAAUCACCUUAGGAAAAUGCGAGGAAGAAAGUAGUCUAGACAAUUCUGAAAGCUACUUAAUAGCAUAAUGCAGAUAACGGAACAGGCUUGCCACAACAAGAAGGCAUGGUAUAAGGAUGAUGUAACUGAGGCUCUGUAUUGGUUAUUGGAGAGGCAUCGUCCGUAUGUCCUUUGUGCAGAUAAUUUUUUAUGAGAAUAUCCAGAUCAUGCUCAUCUCUCUUGGAUUCUCCACGCAUAGAAUUUUCUCCUUAAACUUGAACGGAAAAGUUUCUGGCAGCAACCCCUUAAGCUUACCGUCCUCAAAUUGGAUGGUUCUUCUUUCGGUAUUCUAUAUGCUUUUGUUUUCUUAAUUCGAAGAUUGAUGUAUAUUUUUGGUUGAUGGAUAUGUUUUAAUUCUAAGAUUUAUAGAAAUUGAAGUAGCUAGACAUGGGAACGUGGAAGCUCUCAAAAGGGAGGUGCAAGAUGCCUUCACCCAUUUGAUGGUAUGUAUUAUGUAUUAUGUCUGUUGUCAAUUGCAAAUGCAAAAUGCUGGGACUUUUUGUGAUGGUGUGUAACAGGAUUGAAGGAGCUGUAUAAAAUUUCAUGAAAUAUCUUCAGGAGUUCGACAAGAAAAAAACAUUGGGGAAUCUCUUGCAAUUUCACAUAAAUUAGGGUUGUUGGCCUGAUGCAGCUCUUCAGAAUUCCUUGAAGGAUCGGACUGGAACCGGGUUCCUAAUUCUACAGAUCAAAGGAUUAAAUAUUUGGAGGCAUUCAACGGAGCAGUGAUAGAAUGAUACUUGAGUUCUUAUGCCAUAGAAUGAUACUUGAGUUCUUAUGCCACAUCUAGAACUAUGGUGUUGUUGAGUUUCCUCUUCAUGUAAUAAACUCAUGCUUCACGAGAAGAGUGAAAUAUCCGUUCCAGAACUUCUUGCAAGAAUCGAACGACCAUUUUGCUGGGAUGUCGACUAUAGGCAUUCUUUCAAGCGGUUUGCUCAAAGAUUGCGCUGCAAUUAGAUCUUCUGGAUUUAUAACAUCCCGAAGCCUUUGAGUUCUGUAAAGAGUAAAAUAUCAUUUGCUUGAAGCCAUCAGCUCAUUCUAUUCAAGGAAAGUACAGGCCCGCUUCACCCAAAUGAUAUGCCUGAAAGGUUUUUGCUUUCCUGUUCCAGAGGAAGAUUAGUG